rnacentral:rRNA from 1 species
UACGGAGGGGGCUAGCGUUGUUCGGAAUUACUGGGCGUAAAGCGCGCGUAGGCGGCUUUGUAAGUUAGAGGUGAAAGCCCGGAGCUCAACUCCGGAACUGCCUUUAAGACUGCAUCGCUAGAACGAUGGAGAGGUAAGUGGAAUUCCGAGUGUAGAGGUGAAAUUCGUAGAUAUUCGGAAGAACACCAGUGGCGAAGGCGACUUAUCGUGACAUCUGUUGACGCUGAGGUGCGAAAGCGUGGGGAGCAAACAGG